rnacentral:rRNA from 1 species
UCUCAAAUCAGGUAGGACUACCCGCUGAACUUUAGCAUAUCAAUAAGCGGAGGAAAAGAAACUAACAAGGAAUUCCCCUAGUAACGGCGAGUGGAGCGGGAAGAGCUCAAAUUUAAAAUCUGGCAGUGGUAUUCUGUCCGAGUUGUAGUCUAGAGAAGCAUCAUCCGUGCUGGACCAUGUACAAGUCUCUUGGAACAGAGCGUCAUAGAGGGUGAGAAUCCCGUCCUUGACAUGGACUGCCAGUACAUUGUGUUGUGCUCUCAACGAGUCGAGUUGUUUGGGAAUGCAGCUCAAAAUGGGUGGUAAAUUCCAUCUAAAGCUAAAUAUCGGCGAGAGACCGAUAGCGAACAAGUACCGUGAGGGAAAGAUGAAAAGCACUUUGGAGAGAGAGUUAAACAGUACGUGAAAUUGUUGAAAUGGAAACGCUUGAAGUCAGUCGCGUUCGCUGGGAUUCAGCCUUGCUUUUGCUUGGUGCAUUUCCUGGUGUUACGGGCCAGCAUGGAUUUCGACCGGUGGAGAAGGGUUGGGGGAAUGUGGCACCUCCGGGUGUGUUAUAGCCCCUUGUCCGCAUACGCCGGUCGUGG